GAUGAACGCUGGCUACAGGCUUAACACAUGCAAGUCGAGGGGAAACGACGGGGAAGCUUGCUUCCCCGGGCGUCGACCGGCGCACGGGUGAGUAACGCGUAUCCAACCUGCCUCUGACUGAGGGAUAACCCGUCGAAAGUCGGCCUAAUACCUCAUGGCAUCGUCUGCGGGCAUCCAACGACGAUUAAAGAUUUCAUCGGUCAGGGAUGGGGAUGCGUCUGAUUAGCUUGUUGGCGGGGUAACGGCCCACCAAGGCUACGAUCAGUAGGGGUUCUGAGAGGAAGGUCCCCCACAUUGGAACUGAGACACGGUCCAAACUCCUACGGGAGGCAGCAGUGAGGAAGAUUGGUCAAUGGGCGGGAGCCUGAACCAGCCAAGUAGCGUGCAGGAUGACGGCCCUAUGGGUUGUAAACUGCUUUUAGGCGGGGAUAAAGUGAGGGACGUGUCCUUCAUUGCAGGUACCGCAUGAAUAAGGACCGGCUAAUUCCGUG
rnacentral:rRNA from 1 species